UCUCACAGUGCUCGUUUACCGUAUCGAUACAUUUUCUUUCCAGCGUUCAAUUUUUCAGAAUUUUUAUUAAAAUGGAAGCUUGUACAUUUUAUGGGCAACUUAUGGGCAAGCAGCAGAGGACUUGACCAGCGCGGAUGAUGCGGCCAUUUCGGACCGGCCCCAGAGGCUUACUUCGCAGGACAGAAAUUCCACGCCCAACGUCGUACCGUUUGGUAUCCCCCAGACCCCGGGCAAGGACUCGCAGCAGUGCAAACAGGAGGAGCAACAAAAUCUUCUGCAAAUUCAAAUUAUUUAAAGCGACUGACUGCAAAGUACGUUUUUCCAUUAAGGGUUAAUAUGCGAUCAGGUUUUUUUCCAUUAAGAAGUGUAAAGCUCUGCUAGACAUGACGCUUCGGAGAAGUGUUUUAAACGGCGAGUCGAAGCUAGAAUUCAAAUAAUUUUAAGCUGGAAUGAUUGAAAA